GAUCCUAUCCUAUCCUAUAUGGAACUCAACCCGAAUUAGGAAGGUUCACAUAAAUCAAGAGAUAUAAGGUAUGAUUAUGACAAGGUAUGAUAUUAAAUUUUAUUCUACAAGCCAUAUGAAACCUACUUUGCUGUUAAUUAAAGAGGCAGUAAAUGAAGUUAUAUAUUGAGUAUGACUAUUGACAUAUUUACAUAAUCUAUUAAUGUCAUACAGUUUCAGUUGUAAGAGAUAAACCUCAUAUGAUUUUGUUUGUAAAUAUAUAUAAAAAAGUUGAAGACUAGUAUAGUAACCAAGAACUAGCACUGCAAUGCUGGCUUAUUUGUAAAGUAUUAAAUUUGUGUUUGGUUUUUAAGUCUGAUUUGAAGAUUGCGACGAAGCUUUAGUAUGGUUGGAGUUGGAGCAUACAAAGAGUCUCCAGAAAGGCAGUUGCUUGCGCUUAUGGUGGUUGUCAACAAGUUCAGUUUCAGUUUUCUGUAACAUUUCCCACAU
rnacentral:lncRNA from 1 species